rnacentral:lncRNA from 1 species
AUGAACUCUCUGGUGCACAUUAAGACUGCUUUUUCGGGUAAAGUACUUGUCACAUUCACAUCUGUAAGGUUCUUUCUCCUGUAUGAAUUCUCUGAUGUUUUCUAAGAUCACCUUUAAGAGAAAAGCAUUUGUCACAUUCACUACAUUUGUAAGGUUUCUCUCCUGUAUGAACUCUCUGGUGCACAUUAAGACUGCUUUUUCGGGUAAAGUACUUGUCACAUUCACUACAUUUGUAAGGUUUCUCUCCUGUAUGAAUUCUCUGAUGAAUAAUAAGUCUGUAUUUUUCAGUAAAGCAUUUGUCACAUUCACUACAUUUGUAAGGUUUAUUAGCUGAAUGUAUUCUCUGAUGAGUUCUAAGAUGAUAUUUGUUGGUAAAGCAUUUGUUACAUUCACUGCAUUUGUAAGGUUUUUCUCCUAUGUGAAUGCGCUGAUGAACAAUAAGAUGGCUUUUUCGAGUGUAGUAUUUGUCACAUUCACUACAUUUGUAGGGUUUUUCUCCAGCAUGAAUUUUCUGAUGAACAAUAAGAUGGCUUUUUCGAGUGUAGUAUUUGUCACAUUCACUACAUUUGUAAGGUUUCUCUCCUGUAUGAAUUCGUUGAUGAUCUCUAAGAUUGCCUUUCAGGGUAAAAGAUUUGUCACAUUCACUGCAUUUGUAAGGUUUCUCUCCUGUAUGAAUUGUCUGAUGACUUGUAAGACGCCAUUUCUUUGUAAAGCAUUUGUCACACUCACUACAUUUGUAAAGAUUUUCUCCUGUAUGAAUUCUCAGAUGAACUUUAAGACUGCCUUUGUGGGAAAAGCAUUUGUCACAUUCACUACAUUUGUAAGUUUUCUCUCCUGUAUGAAUUAUUUGAUGAAUGAUAAGACUGCAUUUUAGAGUAAAGCCUUUGUCACAUUCACUACAUCUGUAAGGUUUCUCUCCUGCAUGAAUUCUCUGAUGAAUACUAAGACUGCCUUUUUGGGUAAAGCUUUUGUCACAUUCACUACAUUUGUAAGGUUUCUCUCCUGUAUGAAUUCUCUGAUGUUUUCUAAGGUCACCAACUUGAAUGAAGCAUUUCUCACAUUCACUACAUUUGUAAGGUUUCUUGCCUGUAUGAUACACUUGAUGAAUGAUAAGACUGCAUUUUAGAGUAAAGCCUUUGUCACAUUCACUACAUUUGUACGGCUUCUCUCCUGUAUGAAUUCUCUGAUGAGUUCUAAGGUUGGUUUUGGAGCUAAAGCAUUUUUCACAUUCAUUACAUUUGUAAGGUUUCUCUCCUGUAUGAAUUCUCUCAUGUCUUCUAAGAUCACCAACUUGAAUGAAGCAUUUCUCACAUUCACUACAUUUGUAAGGUUUCUUGCCUGUAUGAUACAUCUGAUGAAUACUAAGACUGCCUUUGUGGGAAAAGCAUUUGUCACAUUCACUACAUUUGUAAGGAUUCUCUCCUGUAUGAAUUCUCUGAUGAGUUCUAAGGCUGCUUUUGUAGCUAAAGCAUUUUUCACAUUCAUUACAUUUGUAAGGUUUCUCUCCUUUAUGAAUUCUCUGAUGUUUUCUAAGAUCACCAACUUGAAUGAAGCAUUUCUCACAUUCACUACAUUUGUAAGGUUUCUUUACACUUUUGGUUUGUUUCAAUAUGAGGGUUUCUUUAGAGUCAAAAACCUUAUCAAGCUUUGCACCAUUGUAUUCUUUCUUUCCUAUGUUGAUUCCUUGAUUUAGACUAAUGGUAGAGCACAAAUUGAAACAGUUUACAUGGUUUUUAUCUUUGCAAGGUUCUCUGUUGUUUUCAGUUUCAUGUCUGCUUAGGUUUGAUGAUUCAACAGAUGUAGCCCUGAGGUUAGUUUUAGAAGGUGCACUUCCUGUGGACUCAUGGAUGAUUUUGUCAAGCUCAUGACAUUCAUAAGAUUUCACUUGGGUAUUUGCAUGUUCGUGGACAAUAUGCUGUAGAUCUUGAUUCAACAUGUUCUCAAAUUCAGGACACAUGUAUUGAUUCUCU